rnacentral:rRNA from 1 species
AAAUUGAAGAGUUUGAUCAUGGCUCAGAUUGAACGCUGGCGGCAGGCCUAACACAUGCAAGUCGAACGGUAACAGGAAGCAGCUUGCUGCUUUGCUGACGAGUGGCGGACGGGUGAGUAAUGUCUGGGAAACUGCCUGAUGGAGGGGGAUAACUACUGGAAACGGUGGCUAAUACCGCAUAACGUCGCAAGACCAAAGAGGGGGACCUUCGGGCCUCUUGCCAUCAGAUGUGCCCAGAUGGGAUUAGCUAGUUGGUGAGGUAACGGCUCACCAAGGCGACGAUCCCUAGCUGGUCUGAGAGGAUGACCAGCCACACUGGAACUGAGACACGGUCCAGACUCCUACGGGAGGCAGCAGUGGGGAAUAUUGCACAAUGGGCGCAAGCCUGAUGCAGCCAUGCCGCGUGUAUGAAGAAGGCCUUCGGGUUGUAAAGUACUUUCAGCGGGGAGGAAGGUGUUGUGGUUAAUAACCGCAGCAAUUGACGUUACCCGCAGAAGAAGCACCGGCUAACUCCGUGCCAGCAGCCGCGGUAAUACGGAGGGUGCAAGCGUUAAUCGGAAUUACUGGGCGUAAAGCGCACGCAGGCGGUCUGUCAAGUCGGAUGUGAAAUCCCCGGGCUCAACCUGGGAACUGCAUUCGAAACUGGCAGGCUUGAGUCUUGUAGAGGGGGGUAGAAUUCCAGGUGUAGCGGUGAAAUGCGUAGAGAUCUGGAGGAAUACCGGUGGCGAAGGCGGCCCCCUGGACAAAGACUGACGCUCAGGUGCGAAAGCGUGGGGAGCAAACAGGAUUAGAUACCCUGGUAGUCCACGCCGUAAACGAUGUCUACUUGGAGGUUGUGCCCUUGAGGCGUGGCUUCCGGAGCUAACGCGUUAAGUAGACCGCCUGGGGAGUACGGCCGCAAGGUUAAAACUCAAAUGAAUUGACGGGGGCCCGCACAAGCGGUGGAGCAUGUGGUUUAAUUCGAUGCAACGCGAAGAACCUUACCUGGUCUUGACAUCCACAGAACUUUCCAGAGAUGGAUUGGUGCCUUCGGGAACUGUGAGACAGGUGCUGCAUGGCUGUCGUCAGCUCGUGUUGUGAAAUGUUGGGUUAAGUCCCGCAACGAGCGCAACCCUUAUCCUUUGUUGCCAGCGGUUAGGCCGGGAACUCAAAGGAGACUGCCAGUGAUAAACUGGAGGAAGGUGGGGAUGACGUCAAGUCAUCAUGGCCCUUACGACCAGGGCUACACACGUGCUACAAUGGCGCAUACAAAGAGAAGCGACCUCGCGAGAGCAAGCGGACCUCAUAAAGUGCGUCGUAGUCCGGAUUGGAGUCUGCAACUCGACUCCAUGAAGUCGGAAUCGCUAGUAAUCGUGGAUCAGAAUGCCACGGUGAAUACGUUCCCGGGCCUUGUACACACCGCCCGUCACACCAUGGGAGUGGGUUGCAAAAGAAGUAGGUAGCUUAACCUUCGGGAGGGCGCUUACCACUUUGUGAUUCAUGACUGGGGUGAAGUCGUAACAAGGUAACCGUAGGGGAACCUGC